rnacentral:rRNA from 1 species
GCAACCUGCCCCGAAGACCGGGAUAAUCCCGGGAAACCGGAGCUAAUACCGGAUACCCCCACCGGGUCACAUGGCCUGGCGAGGAAAUGGAUUCCGCUUCGGGAGGGGCUCGCGGCCUAUCAGCUUGUUGGUGGGGUAACGGCCCACCAAGGCUUCGACGGGUAGCUGGUCUGAGAGGACGAUCAGCCACACUGGGACUGAGACACGGCCCAGACUCCUACGGGAGGCAGCAGUGGGGAAUCUUGCGCAAUGGGCGAAAGCCUGACGCAGCAACGCCGCGUGGGGGACGAAGGCCUUCUGAGUUGUAAACCCCUUUCAGCAGGGACGAUUAUGACGGUACCUGCAGAAGAAGUUGUAAACCCCUUUCAGCAGGGACGAUUAUGACGGUACCUGCAGAAGA